CGGACGGGUGAGUAACGCGUAAGAACCUGCCCUUUGGAGAGGGAUAGCCACUGGAAACGGUGAUUAAUACCUCAUAUGCUGAGGAGUGAAAGGCCGAAAGGUCGCCAAGGGAUGGGCUUGCGUCUGAUUAGCUAGUUGGGUUUGGGGUAAAGGCCUCCCAAGGCGAUGAUCAGUAGCUGGUCUGAGAGGACAAUCAGCCACACUGGGACUGAGACACGGCCCAGACUCCUACGGGAGGCAGCAGUGAGGAAUUUUCCGCAAUGGGCGAAAGCCUGACGGAGCAAUGCCGCGUGGAGGAGGAAGGCCUGUGGGUCGUAAACUCCUUUUCUCAGAGAAGAAGUUCUGACGGUAUCUGAGGAAUAAGCAUCGGCUAACUCUGUGCCAGCAGCCGCGGUAAUACAGGGGAUGCAAGCGUUAUCCGGAAUUAUUGGGCGUAAAGCGUCCUGAGGUGGCUUACCCAGUCGACUGUGAAAGCUCAAGGCUUAACCUUGAAACGGCAGUCGAAACUUGUAAGCUUGAGUACGGUAGGGGCAGAGGGAAUUCCCGGAGGAGAGGUGAAAUUCGUAGAUAUCGGGAGGAAGGCCAAAGGCGAAAGCACUCUGCUGGGCCGAUUACUGACACUGACAGACGAAAGCUAGGGGAGCGAAAGGGAUUAGAUACCCCUGUAGUC
rnacentral:rRNA from 1 species